rnacentral:rRNA from 1 species
AACGAACGCUGGCGGCAUGCCUAACACAUGCAAGUCGAACGGGAUCCAGGCUUCGGCCUGGUGAGAGUGGCGGACGGGUGAGUAACACGUGGGAACCUGCCUUUUGGUUCGGGAUAACCGCGGGAAACUGCGGCUAAUACCGGAUGCUCCCGAGAGGGGAAAGAUUUAUCGCCAGAAGAGGGGCCCGCGUCCGAUUAGGUAGUUGGUGAGGUAAUGGCUCACCAAGCCGACGAUCGGUAGCUGGUCUGAGAGGAUGAUCAGCCACACUGGGACUGAGAUACGGCCCAGACUCCUACGGGAGGCAGCAGUGGGGAAUAUUGGACAAUGGGGGCAACCCUGAUCCAGCAAUGCCGCGUGAGUGAUGAAGGCCUUAGGGUUGUAAAGCUCUUUUGCCAGGGAAGAUGAUGACUGUACCUGGAGAAUAAGCCCCGGCUAACUCCGUGCCAGCAGCCGCGGUAAU